UCAUCGACUUGACCCCCUACUCCCUGACAUACACUGGAAGGGAAAAAUUAAUCCUUAAAAAGGCAUGUAAUUCGAAAAAUAAAUCAUUUCUAUUUCAUCAAAUCAUCUCUUGGGUUUUUUGGAAAGAAACCACUUUUCUCCCUCCGGGAGUUUCAACAACCCUCAAAUCGCCGGCGAUACAACAACGAAGACAAUGACAUCCAGACUGCACAACCACCACCUCUAGCUGCAGGGGCCUUGGGCCGAAGAUCCGCCCAGGCCUACGAGAAGUCUACAACAGCAGUACCAUACGACAUCAAGAAGAUACCAUCAGCUACCAAAAGCCAUAAGUAUAAUCCAGAAUUGUUAGUUUUUGGCAAGAAUUUAAAUACAUUUGUUAAUGCAAUUUACUAAGUCAUUUUAUUUAUUAUAUCUUUAUGAACAAUAAACAUGAUUAGUUAAAAACUA